UAAAAAUAUUUUAUUAUUUAUGUUAGGCAUAUAGUAGUUUACUUUUUUGGAUUAGUCGUGCUUAUAAUUAAGUGGAUUACUUAUUUCAUCAAAAUUGAGAAGCUUAUUAAUUGCCUUGUUUUAAUUCGUCUCAACAGGAUUCACCAUUUGUUUUAAUUUGGUUAAAUCUAUUAGUUCUAAAAAUCAAGCUUGGGCUUUUUUUUUGUUGAUUCAACAUUUUAAUCUUGUAAAUUCUCAGGCCCAAAUUGGUUAAACAUUUUUUCUAUAGCCCAUUCCAGCCCAACCCAAAUUCGGUUGACCCAGGCUCUACUCCCUCAUUUACAAUUUAAUACCGGCUCAAUCCCUCUUCCUCUUAACACCCCAAAGAAGUCCAGCCCACGUCUUCCUCUACUUCAUUCUUCACGCGUUAGAACCCAAAACUCAUCCCCAAAAACGUGUGAAACCAGAAACUCAUCCCCCAAAACGCGUGAAACCCAGAACUCCAAAAAGAGACUAAAUUGACACCCCGCAGCGAGACACACGUGAAGAAGAAGCGAAAGACGCAGAGGACUGUGCUCCGCUUUCUCUUUUCUCCCCCAACGUCCCUCUCGAUUGUACCAUCGCAAUAGAAAGCAGCAGCAGAUCACGCGAGUCGUCCUUGGUAGUGUGAGAUUGAGACAUGUCUCACCCCAAGGACGAAUGACUUGAUCUCAGCUAUGUACCUCCCUUUCUCCUUCCGGAAUAAGGUUAAAAAGUCCAGAAAAGUGGUUUCCCCUCUUUUGAAAAAGUUUUGUUUUGAAUUUUUAAGAGAAAACUCGAAAUAGGUCUGAGUUUUAACCCGAUUCUUCUCCAUUUGAAGCCCUAAUUUCUCAGCUAUAUAAGCUUUUCUAGCUUCACUGUUAAGAAGGGGGAUUUUUUUGGUUUUUUCUAUGAGAGAGAAAAUUCACAAAGAAUACUCAAAAUAUUGGUGUUUAAAUACACAAUAAAGAUAUUACUAAGAGGGUAAAUACAGGGUCUUUAUUUCUUGGUAUAAGAUUUCUAUCCAGAAUCUUUUAGGGUCGGUUUUGCGAUCAAUCUUUGUGUUGUGGAGGUGGUCGUCUCCUGCUCGUUUCUGCCUCGGUUCAGCUGCCCCGGAGAAGGUCUUCAAAUUUGAAGGAUAUGAAGUCAAUGGAAGAAUCAAAACCUCCGGCGCAAAAAGCCCACAUUCAUCUUAUGUUGUAUUUUGGAGUUAAUACCUCAAAUGGUCACUCAACUAUGCACUCUUCUCUCAGAAAGUCAGUCAACUUUCAAUUUUCACUCAAAAGUCACUCAACUAUGCACUUCUUUCUCAGAAAGUCUCUCAACUUUGAAUUUUAACUCAAAAGUCACUCAACUAUCCACCAUUUCCUCAAAAGUCACUCAAUCUAUUAAAUUAUUUUUAAUUGAAAAUUGUUGAUAUUAAUUAUUUAUAUAACAAAUCAAAACUUUUAAAAAAUAAAUUAAACCAUUUAGUUGAGUGACCAUAUGAGGUAUUAACUCUUGUAAUUUGUUAAUUCGGGCCUAAGCCCCCUUGUCCCUUUUUGUUAUUUAUUAUUUUUCUAGAGUUUAGGACAGGUACAAAAAUUUGAAAUGGUUCAAAACCCAAAACAAAUGUGUCCAAAUACCGGUUCAGGCGAACAGAAAACCCGGAUUUUGAUCCAAA